rnacentral:rRNA from 1 species
GUCUAUGGCCAUGCCACCCUGAAUGUGUCCGAUCUCAUCUGAUCUCGGAAGCUAAGCAGGGUUGGGCCUGGUUAGUACUUGGAUGGGAGACCACCUAGGAAUACCAGGUGCCGUAGGCA